GUUGACAGUUUGCUGACUGCUCUACAGAAUUUGGACUCAUGCAUACCCACAGUUGCGGCCCACAGGAAGCACCACUAAUCAACCCUGAUCCUCUUCCUUACUGAAACUGUACAAAGCCUCAGAAUUUUUCUGUAACACGGACCUCCAAGUAGCUACCACUAAUACAUCAAAGCUGGCAUGUUUCUGAGUCAAAGAAAGAGAAGAAGUGACAAGGGAGAAUAAGAGUGUGAUCAGAAUUAGAGGGGGGAGCUGUUUUAUCUCCCUUGAGCUCUGGUUCUGUCAGAAUCUAUAUGAGUAUAUAUAAACUUGUGGAAAUUAUUGCAGAAUGUGGCAGAGAAGGAGACUUAGGGAAAAAAGUCUACCAUUGUAAAGUCCAGCCAGGAAACAGAUUAAAACACCCACAGUCAUUUAUUGCACUCCCAUGCAUUCCACCAUCCGAGUUCAAUGUUACAUAUAAGCAUACAGGAAACUGCAUGCCACAGGUCCGAGGUGUGCAUGAAGAAGAUGACUAAUGACAACACCUUGCCAGUGACCCCAAAGCCAAUGUUUAAGGUGGACAGUCUCCGUCCCAAACAUUCUGAUGGAAAGUGUGUCCUCCAACAGUUCUCUCAGAUGAUUUGGAAAAUACAUGAAGGUUGUUCAUCUUUGGGACACAGGCAUAUGCAUUAUUGGGGCACAGACAUUUCAGUGACUAAAAAAAGCCACAGUGUUUGGGAGAAAAACCUGAUAUUUCUAACAAUAAAUUUAUGCCCUACAUCAGUGAGUAAAAAACAAAUAAAACAAAACACACAAAUAAAAGAAAUACGAUUUUAAAGAAUGAUAAUAAAGGCAUGUUGAAGGGCAUCAUUAUUUUAUUAUUAGAAUACCGGGGUAUUUUGAAGUGUUAACUUGUUUUUCUUUCCUCCCUUGUGUCUUGUCAUUUUCUUCUAUCUUCAACCUGCCUCCCAAUUAAAGAACAUAGAUAAUGAUGUGCUUAUUGCCUCCAAGUAGCUUUGGGGCAAGGUGGGAAGCAGAAUAGGACUAAAAUCUUUUUCAUUAAUCUUCCAAGGGGGUAGGAGAUUAUAGGGGUUUUUGUGACAGGGAUGAAAGGAAAGAGAUGCUAGACAUAGAAAAAGUGUCUUAGCCAGAAAUAUGAAGAGAGGGGGAAAAAGACUUUCACAGAUAGAAAGAUAUUCCCCUUGCACCAAAUUUGUGGCUGAGGGGAGAGGAGGAGGAGAGUGAGAGAGUUCUGCAGGUUCUCAGAGUAAAACAAAUCUGAGCCUGCUCUUGCCAGCACACUGGCACAACAGCAAGACCCACAGAGAAAAGGGCCAUACAAUUAAGGAUGUCCAACAAUCUUAGUGCAAAAUGUCCAAAUAAUUUCAGCAGUAAAGGAAAGCAGAUCAUACUAACAGGUGAUAUAUCAAUUAAGGUUCUUAGUUUCGAAGCAAACUGCACGUGGCUUAAGAAAAAAAAAUUACCUCAAGCAAAAGAUGGAAUGGACUGGAAGGUUAUGGGGAACUUUAGAGAAUCAAAGGAAAUCUGGGAACACCUUGCUUCAGAAAGGGCAGGAUUAAGGAAACUCUGAUGAGCUGGGUAAGAGGAAGCACAGGCCAUCCCUUCAGGUGCUGACACCAGGUGGAUGAGCUCCAAUCUUGCCAUCAUUGAGCCACUCCUCACAAAUGUUAAAUUCCUGGAACAGUCAGUGGAACCUUCCUCAGAUCCCGUGCCCAACCCUCAGCCAAGAAGACAGUAGG